rnacentral:rRNA from 1 species
AACCUUACUUAUAUUAUUUUUUGUAUACCUCUGUUUAAGAAUAUACUUUUAGGUAAAUUUUCUAGAUAAAAUAGUAUUUAGAAUUUCAAGUCAAGGUGCAAUAAUAUAUAAGUUGAAUAAUGGAUUACAAUGAAUUUUAUUUAAAUGGAUUAUUAUUGAAAUAUGGUUAUGAAGGUGGAUUUAAUUGUAAUUUUAUAAAGAUUAUUAAAAUGAUUUAAAGCUCUAUAAUAUGUACACAUCGCCC